rnacentral:rRNA from 1 species
UACAGAGGUCUCAAGCGUUGUUCGGAUUCAUUGGGCGUAAAGGGUGCGUAGGCGGCGCGGUAAGUCGGGUGUGAAAUUUCGAGGCUUAACUUCGAAACUGCAUUCGAUACUGCCGGGCUAGAGGACUGGAGAGGAGACUGGAAUUUACGGUGUAGCGGUGAAAUGCGUAGAUAUCGGAAGGAAGACCAGUGGCGAAGGCGGGUCUCUGGACAGUUCCUGACGCUGAGGCACGAAGGCCAGGGGAGCAAACGGG